GACGAACGCUGGCGGCGUGCUUAACACAUGCAAGUCGAGCGAGGCCCCUCCUUCGGGAGGGUGUCCUAGCGGCGAACGGGUGAGUAACACGUGGGCAACCUGCCCUCAGCUCUGGGAUAACUCCGGGAAACCGGGGCUAAUACCGGAUACGACCUCCACGGGCAUCUGCGGAGGUGGAAAGUUUUUCGGCUGAGGAUGGGCCCGCGGCCUAUCAGCUAGUUGGUGGGGUAGUGGCCCACCAAGGCGACGACGGGUAGCCGGCCUGAGAGGGCGACCGGCCACACUGGGACUGAGCCACGGCCCAGACUCCUACGGGAGGCAGCAGUGGGGAAUAUUGCGCAAUGGGCGAAAGCCUGACGCAGCGACGCCGCGUGAGGGACGAAGGCCUUCGGGUUGUAAACCUCUUUCAGCAGGGACGAAGCGAAAGUGACGGUACCUGCAGAAGAAGCACCGGCCAACUACGUG
rnacentral:rRNA from 1 species